UUACAUGUGGUUGUACAGAGCAUUGAAGAUUUUGAGUUUUUAGGGAGCAGGUAUAACUGCUACAUGUAAG
rnacentral:tRNA from 1 species